CUAGGGAAGUACGAGUUGAAACCACGAUAAGAUACCACCUAAUGCUCUCAAGAAUGGCUAAACUUGAACAGACUGACCAUCCCAAGCCCGGGGAAAGUGUGGAGCACUUGGAACAUGGUUCAGUCCCAGUGUAAAUGAUGAGAGCAACUCUGGAAAGUGCUUCCAAAAUAAAUAUUACAGCCAAAGCCUCAGCAGUUUCAUUUCUAGGAAUGACUGCAAUGGAUAUAUGGGAAGGGCAAAAGUCGUGUGCCUAAGUAUGUAUCACUCUUAAAUCUUAAUAAAAGUUAAAACUGACAGUAGUCUAAAUGUCCAUGAACACAGAAAGAAGGAAUUAGCUGUGUUUUACUCAGCAGAGAACAGAAACAGCUUCUACAUGCUCAUACCACUAUGUCCAGCAGUUGUCAGACACCAAGAGCACGUACUGCAUGAUUCUGCUUGCCAUGAAGGUCAACCGCAGAA
rnacentral:lncRNA from 1 species